rnacentral:rRNA from 1 species
ACACGUAUGAAAGACAAGCUGAAAGACUUUUCUCAAUGAUGUAAGUGGUGGUGCAUGGUCGUUCUUAGUUCGUGGAUUGAUUUGUCUGGUCUAUUCCGAUAACGAGCGAGACCCCGACGUUCCUAAUAGGGGUAGCAGCCAGGCUCGCCACGCAAGUGGCUUGCUAGCACGCUACCUAAGAUGCUUCUUAGACGUAUCAGAGCCGAUAAGGUUCUUGAAAUGGGUUAAUAACAGGUCAGUCAUGCCCUUAGAUGUUCUGGGCCGCACGCGCGUUACAAUGGUAAACAUUAGAAAGUGCUCUAGCGGCGUUUCCGCAGCCGACGGGUUGUGGUAACCACUAAUCUCUCCCUUGACUGGGACAGACUAUUGCAAUUAUUGGUCUCUAACGAGGAAUUUUUAGUAGUCGCAGGUCAUUAACCUGCGACGA